rnacentral:rRNA from 1 species
GUUUGAUCAUGGCUCAGAUUGAACGCUGGCGCGGCAUGUUUUACACAUGCAAGUCGAACGGCAGCACGGACUUCGGUCUGGUGGCGCGAGUGGCGAACGGGUGAGUAAUGUAUCGGAACGUGCCUAGUAGCGGGGAUAACUACGCGAAAGCGUAGCUAAUACCGCAUACGUUCUUCGAAGGGGAAAGCGGGGACUCCUUCGCCCGGGCCGCAGUAAUUAUUAGAGCGGCCGAUAUCGGAUUAGCUAGUUGGUGGGGUAACCGGCUCACCAAGGCGACGAUCCGUAGCUGGUUUGAGAUUAACGCAGACCAGCCCACACUGGGACUGAGACACGCCCAGACUCUACGGAGGCAGCAGUGGGGAAUUCGGACAAUGGGGAAACCGGAUCCAGCCAUCCCGUGUGUGCGAUGAAGGCCUUCGGGUUGUGUUUUUCACUUUCGCAGGAAGAACGGCACGGAUAAUAUCCCCGUGCAACUGACGGUACCUGCAGAAUAAGCACCGGCGACCGCCGUGCCAGCAGCCUGGGGUGGUAAUACGUAGGGUGCAAAGCGUUGUCUGAAUUACUGGCGUAAAGCGUGCCGCAGGCGGUUCGGAAAGGAAAGAUGUGAAAUCCCAGAGCUUAACUUUGGAACCGCAUUUUUAACUACCGAGCUAGAGUGUGUCAGACAGGAGGCUGCGGAAUUCCGCGUGUAGCAGUGAAAUGCGUAGAUAUGCGGAGGAACACUGAUGGCGCGAAGGCAGCCUCCUGGGAUAACACUGGACGCUCAUGCACGAAAGCGUGGGGAGCAAAACAGGAUUAGAUACCCUGGUAGUCCACGCCCUAAACGAUGUCAAACUAGCCGUUGGGGCUUCGGCCUUGUAGCGCAGCUAACGCGUGAAGUUGACCGCCUGGGGAGUACGGUCGCAAAGAUUAAAAACCGUGCCAAAUGACGGGAUUCCGCACAAGCGGUGGAUGAUGUGGAUUAAUUCGAUGCAACGCGAAAACCUUACCUACCCUUGACAUGUCUGGAAUCCCGAAGAGAUUUGGGAGCGUCAGCACAAGAGAACCGAACACAGGUGCUGCAUGGCUGUCGUCAGCUCGUGUCGUGAGAUGUUGGGUUAAGUCCCGUAACGAGCGCAAACUCCUUGUCAUUAGUUGCUACGAAAGGCACCUAAUGAGAUCAGCCGGUGACAAACCGAGGAAGGUGGGGAUGACGUCGAGCUCAUGGCUCCCAUGGGUAGGGCUUCCUCCACACGUCGCUACAGUCGGUUUCGGACAGAGGGUCGCCGCUAACCCGCGAGGGGAGCCAAUCCCAGAAACCCGAUCGUAGUCCGAUCGCAGUCUGCAACUCGACCGCGUGAAGCCGGAAUCGCUACGUAAUCGCGGAUCAGCAUGUCGCGGCAUGACGUUCCCGGGUCUUGUACACACCGCCCGUCACACCAUGGGAGUGGGUUUUACCAGAAGUAGUUAGCCUAACCGUAAGGAGGGCGAUUACCACGGUAGGAUUCAUGACUGGGGUGAAGUCGUAACAAGGUAGCCCCAGCAUACUCGAUGC